UCUGUGGGCUACUGGGGCUGCAUAAUUCCAACCUCUCCUUCUGUGUUUACAAGCCUUCUCUUCUGUGUGUUUAAUCUCCCUCUGCCUUUCUUUUAUAAGGACACUUGUCAUUGGAUUUAGGGCCCACUCAGAUUAUCCAGGAAAAUCUUUUCUCAAGAUCCUUAAUUUAACAUCUGCAAAGACCCUUUUGGCAAAUUAGGUGAUAUUCACCGAGGCUGUAGGCUGAAUUUUUCUCCUCCUUCAAAUUCAUACGUUGAUGCCCUAAGCCCCAGUGCGAUGGUGUUUGGAUCUGGGGUCUUUGGGAAGUACUUAGGUUUAGAUGAGAUUAUGAGGUGGGCCCUUCAUUAUAGGAUUAGUGCCCCUAUAAAAAGAGAUACCAGAGCUUGCUCUCCCUUUCUCUGUCUCUGUCUGCCAUGUGAGGACACAUCUAGAAGGCAGCUGUCUGCAAGCCAGGAAGAGUGUCCUUUCCAGGAACUGAAUCUGCUGGCAUCUGCUUUUGGAAUUUCCAGCCUCCCAAACUGUGAAAAAAUAAAUUUCUUUUGUUUAAGCCAUCCAGUGAAUGGCAUUUUGUUAUGUCAUCACUAGAUGACUAAGUCAAUAGUUUGCAGCGAUUAGGAAUAUCUUUUUGGGGACCACUAUUCAACCCAUUACAACUGGGUAUCAUUUGAAGCUUUUUGGUUAUAUUUUCAUUUUCACAGCCCAGGAUUAAAAGAGCCCUCGUCAGAUGUGUAUUUUGGAGAGGAUUACCAGUUUUCUAUGCAGUGGCUAUAUCUGCUGCCAAAGACUUUGCUGGCUGGGAAAACACUGAUUUCUUCAAGGGAAACGUCGUAAGGCAGGAGGGUGCAUGACAACUUGUAAAAGUGGGGUUGAUAACAGAGAUAGAAACACUCAGUUUUUCGCAUUGGGUUAGAAUUAUCUACAAGACAGUUUGAAGAUGGGAAAAUAUUUUGACCCAUCUCUGAUAGUUUAGAGUAAUAUUAAAAUUGACUACACAAAUAAAUAAAAUGCAUAUAGGGAUUAAAAAUACCUAUUAUUUCAUAUGCAAUGUAAUACGUUGCUUAAGUUCUUUAUUGCAGUGGAAACAAAAAAAAGAAAGAAAUACAGUAGACAAGCCAAAAUAAUUUGCAUAAAACACAACGGAAAGUGGCUGAGAAGAGGACAAUUUAGGAAAAUGAUCUCUCCAGGAAUGCUGCCAAGAAUCCUGUGAAAGUCUGGGUCGGUUGAUAAGCAGAUGUAGCAAUCGCUUAGUUUGUUCAAGUUUUCAUCAGUAGAUGCAGGUGCCUACAGGGUAAGUCGGUGCUCUUGAUCAUGAAGCUGCAUACUUACCUGGACCAGUUUGCAGGAGAAGCUGAAAGAGGAGAUCUGGCAGGAGCUAGAGGAGUUUGGGGCCUGACUGCUACUCCAACAACAAGAUAAACCAGCAAUUCAGCAACAACAUGCAUAAGCUGCAAUAGAUCCUGAACUCACACUCACCUUUCUAGGACAAACAGGGUGUUGCUCCCCUGUCAUUUAAAAAAUCAUUUACAAAUUUUAUUCGUGGCCAAUUCUCACUUGGAAAGAUAUAUGGAAGACAAAUGUGGCAAAGGGAGUUUCAGUUAAGCCAAAUUGAAACAAGAGAAAGCAACAUUUCAUUUAAUUUUGCAACUUUAAUGUAAUUGUGCUCUAAAUUGUGGACUUUGGAUUAAUAGCAAAAUUCCAAGUUGUGGAAUAUUAUCUUCUGGUUUUGAAUACAUCCUAGCACUUUAUCAUAUUCUAUAUACUAACAUUAUAUAGUGCUUAUUAUAGAGAGUGGGUUUAGUAGUCCCUAAUAUUCAUGUCUUUAUAAAAGCUGAAUUUGUAAUAUUCUUUCAAGUAUCAUUGACAAUUUCCUGUACCAAGCAAAAUGAUAUCAUGAUAAUUAAAAUUAAAAUUCUGACAUCUGGAACAGGAAGCUCAGUUAAGCAAAAUUUAUUCGGAAAAAAGAUGUCUUACCAGGGCUGUGUAUUAGACUUUAUUUUAGGUUAAGAGAAAAAUAUGAUUUAUAGGUUUCCUGAGACUAAAUCGUUAACACAAUAUUACAUACUAUAAGCAGAUAAGUUCCAAGCACAAUCCUUGGCAUAGUUUAAGGAGUCUAACAAAGAAAGAAGGAAUGGAAUUAAUGGUGAUGUUGAUGAAGAGGGAGGUUGUGAUGAUGGUGAUGUGAGAACACAACGAGCUGUAAUAAAUAAAGAAAAAUCAUCCACUACUGUUUUUAAGGCAUAAAUACACAGUAGGUCUUAUAGAAAACUGGAAAAGUCACCUAUUAAUCGGCAACUCUAAUGAUCAAUUUAUCUUGUAACCUUAAGGUGUGAUCUGUUCUUCAAAUUUAUCUUACUCUCUCCACUCGUGCUCCUUUGUGAGUUAUCAUACCCUUUCAUUAGCUCACCUAUCAAAUGUCAGUGACCUCUGUUCGAUUAAGGACUAGAAUAGAAUAGAAUAGAAUAGAAUAGAACAGAACAGAACAGAACAGAACAGAACAGAACAGAACAGAACAGAACAGAACAGAACAGAACAAUUUGGCUUUCAGGCUUACAUGGCAAAAAGCAUACCAUCUUUGGGUAGAAAGAAAUACCUUUAUUCAGCAAAGACCUAUAAACAUAGCAGACUUUUUGGUGUUGCCGACUGAGCAGUAUAGACCUGUAUCUGUUUUAGAUGAUUAUGUUACUCUUGCCCAUAAUGGUCCAAAAUAGGAACUUUUUUUAAAAAAGAUGUUGAGAGAGGCGAGGGAUUUGCAGGAUGCGCCACAGAGCCGUUUUGUUUUGAAAGUGUAAAAGAAGUAUAAUACAUAAUUUCUGAUUAGUUUUUUUAAAACUACAAAAUGUUGUUUUUUCCACUAUUCUUCUGAGGGAUGUUCACCAAUAUUCUGGUUUUCCUCUGGACACAUGGUUGAAUUGCACUUCCUCACUCCCCUCCCCAUAGCCUACCAUGCUUGCAGUUAGUUAGGCACAACCAAUGACCUGCUGUAGCCAACGAAAUGAGAGCAGAAGUGAAGUGUUCACUUAUGUUUGUCCUACUUCUUGCAAUAAGUAAUUUGAGGCAGUUGUGACCUUGGCCAUGGAUAUGGUGGUACAUCAUUUGCACUGUUAAGAUUAUGACAAAAACAUUGCACAUAUUCAAUUUAUUUCAUAUUAAAAACAAAUAAAAUAUUUUGAACUCACCAUAAAAUUGCUUGAUUAAAACAUGGCUACUAUGUACAUUCUAAAUAUACUUCUCUUUAUUGGAAAAAUAUUAAUUAAAAUAAUUAUUACUUUAACAGAAACUCUAAGUGAUUAGUGCUUCAUAAUGAUUGCCCACAGAUUUAGAAUACUUAUUAAUUCUAUAAUAAUGUAGUCUUAAGAAUUAUAUGUGUUUAACUUUUUCAGGCUAAAAUAAUGUGUUACGUAUAAAGAUUUAAUUGUAGGCACAUGACUCUGAACUCCCUUUUCCCAAGUGUAGAGAUUGUUGUGACAAGUCCUGAAAUGGAGCCUCCAUCAGCCUGAGUGACUACAAUGAGCUGAAAUCAGUGCUGCUCCAUUUGGACAUUCAAGAUGAGUGAGAUAAAAAAAAAAAAUUGUUUUGUGUUAAGCCACUGAGAAUAGGGUGGUGUUUGUUACUGCAGCCUGACAUAGCCCACCCUGACAAGUACAGAUGGCGGCCUGUAGUGCUUACAUACCAAAAAAGAAUAAUCUUAGAAUGCACAGUGUAAAGCCACUCAGUCACUUGUCAUAAAAUUUAUACGAUGAGAAAGAGGCCACACAGAUCCGCAGAUGGUGGACCAAACUCCUUGGUUGGUUGGUAUUGGGAGAACAAGUGUUAGGCCUGGGGAGAAUGUGUGGGUAUCCAUCUGUCUUUGGCCAAGUGAACACGCUAGUGUUCCAGGUCUUUAGGCAAAAGCAGAAAAGAGAUGACAGCUUUCAGCUCAACAGAUAACUUAAGAUGCCAAACUUUUCUGCUGUGUGCCUUAUUUUUUUGAAGAAGCCCAGAGAUCCCCAGUUCAACAAGUAACUAUAUAUAAUAAGCAUGAACUUAUGUUUGCCC
rnacentral:lncRNA from 1 species